rnacentral:rRNA from 1 species
GACGAACGCUGGCGGCGUGCCUAAUACAUGCAAGUCGAGCGGACCGACGGGAGCUUGCUCCCUUAGGUCAGCGGCGGACGGGUGAGUAACACGUGGGUAACCUGCCUGUAAGACUGGGAUAACUCCGGGAAACCGGGGCUAAUACCGGAUGCUUGAUUGAACCGCAUGGUUCAAUCAUAAAAGGUGGCUUUCAGCUACCACUUACAGAUGGACCCGCGGCGCAUUAGCUAGUUGGUGAGGUAACGGCUCACCAAGGCGACGAUGCGUAGCCGACCUGAGAGGGUGAUCGGCCACACUGGGACUGAGACACGGCCCAGACUCCUACGGGAGGCAGCAGUAGGGAAUCUUCCGCAAUGGACGAAAGUCUGACGGAGCAACGCCGCGUGAGUGAUGAAGGUUUUCGGAUCGUAAAACUCUGUUGUUAGGGAAGAACAAGUACCGUUCGAAUAGGGCGGCACCUUGACGGUACCUAACCAGAAAGCCACGGCUAACUACGUGCCAGCAGCCGCGGUAAUACGUAGGUGGCAAGCGUUGUCCGGAAUUAUUGGGCGUAAAGCGCGCGCAGGCGGUUUCUUAAGUCUGAUGUGAAAGCCCCCGGCUCAACCGGGGAGGGUCAUUGGAAACUGGGGAACUUGAGUGCAGAAGAGGAGAGUGGAAUUCCACGUGUAGCGGUGAAAUGCGUAGAGAUGUGGAGGAACACCAGUGGCGAAGGCACUCUCUGGUCUGUACUGACGCUGAGG